GAUGAACGCUAGCGGGAGGCCUAACACAUGCAAGCCGAGCGGUAUUUGUCUUUCGGGACAGAGAGAGCGGCGUACGGGUGCGGAACACGUGUGCAACCUGCCUUUAUCAGGGGGAUAGCCUUUCGAAAGGAAGAUUAAUACCCCAUAAUAUAUUAGAUGGCAUCAUUUGAUAUUGAAAACUCCGGUGGAUAGAGAUGGGCACGCGCAAGAUUAGAUAGUUGGUAGGGUAACGGCCUACCAAGUCAGUGAUCUUUAGGGGGCCUGAGAGGGUGAUCCCCCACACGGGUACUGAGACACGGACCAGACUCCUACGGGAGGCAGCAGUGAGGAAUAUUGGACAAUGGGUUAGCGCCUGAUCCAGCCAUCCCGCGUGAAGGACGACUGCCCUAUGGGUUGUAAACUUCUUUUGUACAGGGAUAAACCUUUCCACGUGUGGAAAGCUGAAGGUACUGUACGAAUAAGCACCGGCUAACUCCGUGCCAGCAGCCGCGGUAA
rnacentral:rRNA from 1 species